CUACAUAAAAGUAAGUCUCAGUUCGGAUUGAAGGCUGAAAUUCGCCUACAUGAAGCUGGAAUUGCCAGUAAUGGCAGGUCAGCAUACUGCCGUGAAUACGUUCCCGGGCCUUGUACACACCGCCCGUCACACCAUGAGAGUUGGGAUACCCGAAGCCUGUGAGCCAACUGUAAAGAGGCAGCAGUCGAAGGUAGAAUCAAUGAUUGGGGUGAAGUCGUAACAAGGUACC
rnacentral:rRNA from 1 species